ensembl:snRNA Gm22069 predicted gene, 22069
GUGCUUGCUUAGGCAGCACAUAGACAAAAAUUGGAACAAUAGAGAAAAGAUUAGCAUGGCCCCUGCACAAGGAUGACAUGCAAAUUCAUGAAGCGUUCCAUAUUUUU